GUCAGAUAGUGCAGUGGUUAGCACUCUGGGUUGUAUUUGCAAGGUCGCCAGUUCGAGUCUAGUAGAUGACA